UACGGAGGGGGCUAGCGUUGUUCGGAAUUACUGGGCGUAAAGCGCACGUAGGCGGCUUUGUAAGUUAGAGGUGAAAGCCCAGGGCUUAACCCUGGAAUUGCCUUUAAGACUGCAUCGCUAGAAUUGUGGAGAGGUAAGCGGAAUUCCGAGUGUAGAGGUGAAAUUCGUAGAUAUUCGGAAGAACACCAGUGGCGAAGGCGACUUACUGGACACAUAUUGACGCUGAGGUGCGAAAGCGUGGGGAG
rnacentral:rRNA from 1 species